CAAUCGUGUCGGCCUACCUCCAAUCAACCCGCGACCUCCUCAUCCGCUGCACGCAUGCUUUGAACAACCAUGCCUGCCCGCCUCGCCUGUCAGUGUAUAAGAAGGUUGUCGCCUCCAAACCUCGUGUUUCUUGAGGACCUCCCGCCUGUGUUUGCUGCCAUCAUCCGGAAAGCCUGCAAGAGCUUCGACGACUUCGACAUCUCCUCCAAGGCCAAGCCGGUAGCGUUCCCCACCUUCCUAUUUUACAAAAAAAUAUCUAAUAUUUUGCGGGUUGGAUCAUUAUGUUUAAAAAAUGACAAACAUUGGUGUCUUGGCCAUGAAAUUGGACACAAACAUGGCUACAAUUUGGCAGCCAACAAUAUAGUGCAUAGAUGAAAAUCAAAUUACCGGACUUUGAGCUCGAACUACAAGUAGCAGCUCUUAAACAACAAGAAGUUGAGAUAUUAAGCAAAAGGUGUCCUUUUAUGUACAAAUACUCGGAAUCAAUAUUUUUGACUUCCUUUACAAUAUUCUUCGAAGCCGAGAUAAUUCAAUUCAUGUUGGUGCAACAUGAAGUAGCCGUAGCAUGAAGUAGCAACAACAUCUGCUUAUAUGGCGUAUACUCCCAGUGGUGACUGCAUAAAGCAUGAAGUAGUAGCAUAUGGGUUCUAUGACUUUUUCUUUAUCACAGCAGGAUGAAGUGCACAAUCAUCCAUUUGGAAAUAUGGCUGAAACAACUAUUGCUUCUAUGGUGUAUACUUCGGUGACUGCAUCACAACCUGUAAUGCAUCAAACUAUGGGCUAGGAAAAGAGGACUUCAUUGUCAUGUAUUUGGUAUAAUUUUAUCUGCUAAUUGUUCAGUUUUAGUCUAGUUAUACGACCAUGAGGCCAUCAUUUUGGUCUAACAAUAUGCUUAUUGUGCCAAGCCAUUCGGUUACUUGCAGGGCUCUGCUGUUGUUUACCCUGGGCAUUAAGAUGGUCUAGAUGGCCACUGUGACUUGCCUUAGGGGACAACUCAUGAAUAUUAAUUAUGUCUUGUUGUAAUCCAACAAGAUCUGAUUGGGAUGUCUGAUGGUUUGUUUCAUCUUGUGGUUGUGAGACAUUUUGUACUUCCUAAACAAGGACAGAUUAAUUCCAAACUUAGAAUGAGCACUGCAUAUUACAGUGGUUGUGAGACAUGUUGCCUGAUACUGGUUUGCUCUGUGAUAAUCUUUGGUCUGAUCCUUCCAAUGAAGCAACGGGCUGGCCCAUCAAUGAUCGAGGUGUUUCACUCACAUUUAGACCUUAUCUGCCAAGCACAUCAGGUUCCUAUGUUCUUAUAGAUGUGACAUACUUAUUCUUUUAUAAACUACAAAGUGUAUUAAUAGUUUACUUAUGAUUUUGCAUUACUGAAAUUAAGGUUGGCAAAGAUGGAUAUGAGUUUUUUUCUAGCUGUCAACUCGUAACAAUAUUUUAGCCCCUAACUACUGUUGAAAAUUUGACAAAGCUUCAUGCAUGCUAAGUCUUGGAAUGUUAACCAGUGCUCUACCUAUGACUGCUCUUGGGGCUGUUUUGUGUAGUUUGCUUCUAACACAAGUUUUAAACAGAGACUUAUCAAUGUCGCUAAUCUAUUUUGAUUUAUUUUAUAUGUGCUGCUUCUAAUUCCAAUCUAGUUUGGCCUUCCCUACAAGUGCAACCUAAUGCAUCCUUUAAACUAUUUAUGUUUGGGGCUUUGUUUCAUGAACUUGCCGAAGAGUGAGGCGCACGAGGCCUCAUGACAUGGCGCCAGGUUAGGUACAUCCUCCGUUGUCCCUCCCUAGCACCUCAUUCAUCAAUGGUAUUUUGGUUAGCGAUCAAGAUGUGAGAAUCAAGCAUAGGAGUGCCUUCACUAUAUCGGUGCAUUGGUUAAAGGUAGUGGUGUCAGCCUCCCUGAUCUGUCCUGAAGCGAGAAAAUGAAGGGCAAAAGCAAGAACAAUUUCUAAGGGAGAGUUUAUCAGACGAGCGAGUGAGGCUACAUCAAGAAACUCAGGGCGUGCAUCUGGUGGUACAUGGAGCUGGAUGAUGGAUAUGUGGCUGAGUAGGAGAAGCUAAUAGGACCUGGAGGAUGGGUCUCUGCGUUCUUUGCUUAUUGGUAUGAUUGUUUAGAUAUCCGCAGAUUACACACACUAUUUCUUCAGCGCGUCUCCUCUUCCUACUAAAAAGUAUCCAUAUCUCUGUUAUUGCAA